CAGUAGCCGCGGGAAUACGGAGGGUGCAAGCGUUAAUCGGAAUUACUGGGCGUAAAGCGUGCGUAGGUGGUGGUUUAAGUCCGUUGUGAAAGCCCUGGGCUCAACCUGGGAAUUGCAGUGGAUACUGGGUCACUAGAGUGUGGUAGAGGAUAGUGGAAUUUCCGGUGUAGCGGUGAAAUGCGUAGAGAUCGGGAGGAACAUCAGUGGCGAAGGCGGCCAUCUGGGACAACACUGACGCUGAGGCACGAAAGCGUGGGGAGCAAACAGGAUUAGAUACCCCCGUAGUCCCUGUCUCUUAUAC
rnacentral:rRNA from 1 species